AGAGAGAGACAUGCGCGCAUAUCAAUAAGCGGAGGAAAAGAAACUAACAAGGAUUCCCUUAGUAACGGCGAGUGAAGCGGGAAGAGCUCAAAUUUGAAAUCUUCAAGGUUUUACCUUGACGAAUUGUAGUUUAAAGAAGUGUUUUCUGCUGAAGUUUUGGUAAAAGUUCUUUGGAAUAGGACAUCAUAGAGGGUGAGAAUCCCGUAUUUGACCAUUAUUUUCAGCUUUGUGAUACACUUUCAAAGAGUCGGAUUGUUUGGGAAUGCAGUCCAAAAUGGGUGGUAAAUUUCAUCUAAAGCUAAAUAUUGGCGAGAGACCGAUAGCGAACAAGUACCGUGAGGGAAAGAUGAAAAGAACUUUGAAAAGAGAGUUAAACAGUACGUGAAAUUGUCAAAAGGGAAGCGUUUGACACCAGUGUUGUUUUCUCGAAAAUCAAUUAAAAAUGGCUCGAUUUUGUAUUGUUGAGACCUUAAAAGCUCACUGUACAUUUUUCGUGUCUUUUUUAAUGCACUUUUCGUUUAACAAGUCAACAUCAGUUUCUUUUGUUGUAAAAGGGUCAUUGGAAGGUGGCUUUCUUUUCGGAGAAAGUGUUUAUAGCCUUUGGCCUCUGCAAUCGAAGAGACUGAGGUCUGGCAGCGUAGACUCUUCGGGGUUAGAUACAUUUGUGCUAAGUUAUAGCUUUUUAUAGACAACUUGUUGACUAUAAUUAGUCUUGUAGCUUACUCGCUUAUGCUAUUUUACCUACGCUUAGGAUGUUGAGUCGUAGAGCACGCAG
rnacentral:rRNA from 1 species